UUCCCUUUGAAAGGACAUGGUUGAUUAUUAAACUCAACAAUUAAAUGUGUCCUGUAUAAACCCUGGCAGUACUGCAGCUUAGGAUGGGCUAGCCUUGGGUCACGAACAGUGUCUCUACGGCCACCUACUAAGGAUCUACACAAACGCUAUCUCCACCAUCAUACUGUGUGAAAUCUGUAGUGUGCAAUUAGAAUAGAUAAUGCAUGAGACACAAUAUAAUAAAUACUACAUACGCGCAAUGAGCAUAUACGAAGUCAUCAGUACAUGAGUGCUGAAUCAGACUUCCGUAGCUCUAUUAUUAUUUUUUUUCUUUUUUGGCCACCCCAGGGCAUAUGGAAUUCCCAAGGCCAGAGUUCAGAUCUGAGUCACAGUUGUGACCUACACCGCAGCUAUGGCUACGCUGGAUCCUUACCCCACUGUGCCGGGGCAGGGAUGGAACCUGGUCCCAGCGCUCCAGAGACACUGCUGAUCCUGCUGUGCCACAGUGGGAACUGCUCAUGGCUCUAUUUUUAUUUUUAUUUUACUUUGUCUUUUUUUUGCUAUUUCUUGGGCUGCUGCCAUGGCAUAUGGAGGUUCCCAGGCUAGGGGUCCAACUGGAGCUGUAGCCACCAGCCUACGCCAGAGCCACAGCAACGCGGGAUCCGAGCCGCAUCUGCAACCUACACCACAGCUCAUGGCAACACCGGAUCCUUAACCCACUAAAGCAAGGCCAGGGAUCGAACCUGCGAGCUCAUGGUUCCUAGUGGGAUUCGUUAACCACCGAAAAGGCUUCUCCAUUCUCGCCUUCCAUCCUACAUACAUUAUACAUUUUGAAAUUUAUGAAGUCCUGAAAUGUAAGGGUCUGAGUUCAGAAAUGACAGGAUAUUCUUGUGUAUGUUCACGUAUAAAUUGAGUGCAAUGCGUGUACUCUUUGAUUCCACAGGUAUUCACUGAAGGCUCUGAUGGUUCAUUUUAUAUGUCAGUGUGACCAGGCCCAGACAUUGGUCAAACGUGAUUCUGGGUGUGUCAGGGAGGGUGCUUUUUGGGUGAGAUUAACACCUGAAUCAGAAGACUGAGUAGAGUAGACUGCCCACCCGUGUGGGUGGGCCUCAUCUGAGCAGUUGACGGCCUGAGUUGCAGUGGGGACGUUGGUCACCUUCUGCUUUCUGAGUCCAACAGAAACAUCGGCUUUUGUGUUUGGAGCCCAGUGGCUCCUGGACUAGAGGUUCCCCCACUGACUCUCCCGGUUCUCAGCCUUCCCACAGCGCUGGACCUCGCCCACCAUCUUUCCCGAUGGCCAGACCUGGGGGCUUUCAGCCUCCACAGUCACAUGAACCAAUGGCUAACUGUAAACCUCUCGACGCAGACGUGGGUACACACAGAUACGGAGAGAGACAUGCUCUGGUUCUGGUUCCGCGUCUCUGAAGAACCUGCCUGAAAGCCCUGACACCCUCUCCUCGUAAGCCAUUCUGCAACGAAGGUGUGCGUGGAGGCUGGGCUGCUCCUGGGCAAACUGUCAUGUAGGAAGUGUUUGCUCUGACACUCCCGUCCUUAUCUUUGGUGGCAUCCUCGGCCCUCUGCACUCCUCUAACCGCCCCCACGCCCCAUGUCGAGCGCGGCCUGUGCUUGGCAGUGGGUGGGAGACAUGCAUGGUCUGGAAUAACCCGCCCUGCUGUGCAGCGCCCAAGACAGCCCGGGGUGAUGUCAUCUCAGGGAGUUCCUGAGACCAGGCUUGCAAAGAAAUGCCUCGUUCCCACCAUGUGCCGGCACCAAGGGGUGUGACUGCUCCAGAUGCAACAGCCACCACACCAGCUGGAAUCAAACAGCGAACAGCAGCACCGCCCUAAGGUCACGGUACUUCUACUCAGGCCGAAGGCUUUACAUGCAGGACCUCACUCAAGCCUCUGACGGAGGCACUGUUUUACACACUUCACCAACGACCUGGCCGGUGAGAGAGUCUUCAUAUGCUGCUCAAGGUCACAUAGGAAAUUACUGGCAAAACCAAACUCUGCAUCUCGAUCUCAGUCCCAAACCCGUAACGACUACAGCACUGAGAAUGAAAAACCACAUAAUGCUCUCAGAAUGGCUGAACCUCAGACUUCAGGAAAUACGGAGAGAAAGAAUUUUCCAACAGUUAUUUUCAACACCUUGGAAUUGAAUACCACACAUACAGGCAUGGAUGAUCACACAGAGAAAAGGGAUACGGUGUUGGUAAAAUUACAAAGCUGAGGGUGUUCCUGUCGUGGCACAGUGGAAAUGAAUCCAACUAGUAUCCAUGAGGAUGCAGGUUCCAUCCCCAGCCUCACUCUGUGGGUGAAGGAUCCGGCGUUGCCGUGAGCUGUGGUGUAGGUCGCAGACGCAGCGCAGAUCUGGAGUUGCUGUGGCUGUGGCGGGGGCCAGUAGUUGUAGCUCCGAUUUGACCCCUAGCCUGGGAACAUCCGUAUGCCUCUGGUGUGGCCCUAAAAAGCGAAAAAAAAACAAAAACAAAAAAUUACAAAGCUAAGCGGACUCUCUCAAAGUUGACCCUUUCUUGGGAUUUACUGUUGCACGUGUUCCAUUUGUAACAUUUCUCACUGUAGAGGUACUUCGUUAUCUUCAGCUCACACUUACCAGAGAUGCGUUUGAAAAUAAGGUCAUCGUCUUGUACAGGAGUCCUAAGGACGACCGAGAAGGCACGUAAG
rnacentral:lncRNA from 1 species